rnacentral:misc_RNA from 1 species
AACCUUAUGGACCUGCGGGCGUAUACCUGCGGAAGGAUCAUUACCGAGUGCGGGUCCGCGUGGCCCAACCUCCCACCCGUGCCUAUUGUACCCUGUUGCUUCGGCGGGCCCGCCAGCCUUCGGGCUGGCCGCCGGGGGGCGUCUCGCCCCCGGGCCCGUGCCCGCCGGAGACCCCAACAUGAACCCUGUUCUGAAAGCUUGGUGUCUGAGUGUGAUUGUUUGCAAUCAGUUAAAACUUUC